rnacentral:ncRNA from 21 species
GGCCGGGUAGCGCGUCUGUCGAACAACAGCCCGAAAGGGCUAAGGCAGCGGGCCGUCUAGUGUCGGUGUUCAAGUACCUGGCCGCCCCUCC